rnacentral:rRNA from 1 species
UGCAGUGUACCCGCGGCAAGACGGAAAGACCCCGUGAACCUUUACUAUAGCUUGACACUGAACAUUGAGCCUUGAUGUGUAGGAUAGGUGGGAGGCUUUGAAGUGUGGACGCCAGUCUGCAUGGAGCCGACCUUGAAAUACCACCCUUUAAUGUUUGAUGUUCUAACGUGGACCCGUAAUCCGGGUUGCGGACAGUGUCUGGUGGGUAGUUUGACUGGGGCGGUCUCCUCCUAAAGAGUAACGGAGGAGCACGAAGGUUGGCUAAUCCUGGUCGGACAUCAGGAGGUUAGUGCAAUGGCAUAAGCCAGCUUGACUGCGAGCGUGACGGCGCGAGCAGGUGCGAAAGCAGGUCAUAGUGAUCCGGUGGUUCUGAAUGGAAGGGCCAUCGCUCAACGGAUAAAAGGUACUCCGGGGAUAACAGGCUGAUACCGCCCAAGAGUUCAUAUCGACGGCGGUGUUUGGCACCUCGAUGUCGGCUCAUCACAUCCUGGGGCUGAAGUAGGUCCCAAGGGUAUGGCUGUUCGCCAUUUAAAGUGGUACGCGAGCUGGGUUUAGAACGUCGUGAGACAGUUCGGUCCCUAUCUGCCGUGGGCGCUGGAGAAUUGAGGGGGGCUGCUCCUAGUACGAGAGGACCGGAGUGGACGCAUCACUGGUGUUCGGGUUGUCAUGCCAAUGGCACUGCCCGGUAGCUAAAUGCGGAAGAGAUAAGUGCUGAAAGCAUCUAAGCACGAAACUUGCCCCGAGAUGAGUUCUCCCUGACUCCUUGAGAGUCCUGAAGGAACGUUGAAGACGACGACGUUGAUAGGCCGGGUGUGUAAGCGCAGCGAUGCGUUGAGCUAACCGGUACUAAUGAACCGUGAGGCUUAACCUUACAACGCCGAAG